rnacentral:tRNA from 1 species
UAGCGAGUAGUUUAGUAAAAAUAUUGAUUUGUGGUAUCAAGGAUAACCAAUAGGUUCUCGCUAUC